rnacentral:miRNA from 3 species
GUGUGAUUUGUGGCAAAGUGAU